rnacentral:rRNA from 1 species
CCUACGGGAGGCAGCAGUGGGGAAUAUUGCACAAUGGGGGAAACUCUGAUGCAGCGACGCCGCGUGAGUGAAGAAGUAUUUCGGUAUGUAAAGCUCUAUCAGCAGGGAAGAAAAAAGACGGUACCUGACUAAGCAGCCCCGGCUAACUACGUGCCAGCAGCCGCGGUAAUACGUAGGGGGCAAGCGUUAUCCGGAUUUACUGGGUGUAAAGGGAGCGUAGACGGUAUGGCAAGUCUGGAGUGAAAGCCCAGGGCUUAACGGUGGGACUGCUAUGGAAACUGUUAGACUGGAGUGCGGGAGAGGUAAGUGGAAUUCCUAGUGUAGCGGUGAAAUGCGUAGAUAUUAGGAGGAACACCAGUGGCGAAGGCGGCUUACUGGACAGUAACUGACGUUGAGGCACGAAAGCGUGGGGAGCAAACAGGAUUAGAUACCCGUGUAGUC